CCGGAAGAAGCCUGAGAUUGCAAAGAGAGGUGGAACAAUGACACCUCCCCAACCCAGGAGCUGAAGAACUGCUCCCAUCAAAGUCUGAGGUCCGACGCCCUGAUCGCAGCCAUCUUUGCGAGUUGCUGAGCCCCAGGGAGAAAUGUUUAAAACACCACAGCCAGCAAGUGCCAGAGCUAGGACAUAAAGCCAAGACUUUGGAUAAGGCCAGUCCUUCCACGGAACAGAAACCAGGUCUGAGCUCCUGCCUUUUUUUUUUUAAUCUGCAAGUGAGCGGGUUCAAAGGUAACAGGGAUCCGGGAUGAUUUCUGGCGUGAUGCGCACCAAGGAUUCCCUGAUGAAGAGUCUUUGCCGUUCAUCUUGACCCACAGUAUACCAGGGUAGACCUUUCGUGCAGCUUGCAGCCACUUCCCACAUCUGCAGCUGAAUGUGACAGGAUGUGGGUAAGAAGGCUUAAGUACUGUGAUGCAAGAACCCGGGGCUUUACAUAACACAGCACCGCUCAGCUGACGGUGCAAAACUUCAUACAAGAAUUCAUUGCUCACAAAGAAGCAACUCGAGAAAGAUGUGCAUGGCUGUAAACAUUUUGAUUUGCUGUAA